GCUUCAGGUUUGAACAUUGAAGCCUAUGAUUCAGUUUACUUGCAACGGUUGGGUUGGAACAAGCCUAUAGUGCCGAGCGUGGCUAACGAAGAAGAUCUUGGACUCAAAUCUGUAACUCCAUACUUGUAUAUCUUUGAUUGUGACCCUGAUGAUGGUGAUUAAACAAGCUCUUACAAAUUGUUAUUGUUUUUGUGAAGGCAAGUCUUGUGUUAUCUCCCCACCUUCCAGUAUGAGUUUAAUUCAAAGUUGGAAUCUGUCAAGCUGUCUGGUUUAACUUUUCGUUGUUGAAUUUGAAUUUCGAUAAUCUUGUAACUACAUAUUAAUACUUCUCUUAUUGAGAUUGGCUGCUUACUAGACCCAUCAACACAGACAGAUAAAUGGUCAAUUCGGGUUUGGUUUUGGCCAAAUUCGAUUCUAUGUCAAUUGUAUAAAAGAGAAACUAAAUAGAUAUUAAAUGGAUGAAAUUUGUGUAAUGAUAACCUAAUCUUAGAGGCGUUAAUACGGAACAACUCAGUCCUAAAUAAUGAUGAAAACUUACCUUUCGGUGAUGUCAUAUAGUACUCUACUGUCCAAAACUCUUUCUCACAGCAGGGGCACCUUUCCCAUCGUGAAAUACCUGGAGCUCGAUAUUCUUUUGUUUAAACCACCCAUUAGCCAAUUGAGUUGUGGAUGCUCUCCCACUGUUACAUUAUAUGAAUAUUGCAUUAGAACUCCAACUCUUUCGCCAUGGGAGGUGCUCUAUGAUGUCAGAUGAAUG
rnacentral:lncRNA from 1 species